rnacentral:rRNA from 1 species
AUUGAACGCUGGCGGCAUGCCUUACACAUGCAAGUCGAACGGCAGCACGGGAGCAAUCCUGGUGGCGAGUGGCGAACGGGUGAGUAAUACAUCGGAACGUGCCCAGUAGUGGGGGAUAGCCCGGCGAAAGCCGGAUUAAUACCGCAUACGACCUACGGGUGAAAGCGGGGGAUCGCAAGACCUCGCGCUAUUGGAGCGGCCGAUGGCAGAUUAGGUAGUUGGUGAGGUAAAGGCUCACCAAGCCAACGAUCUGUAGCUGGUCUGAGAGGACGACCAGCCACACUGGGACUGAGACACGGCCCAGACUCCUACGGGAGGCAGCAGUGGGGAAUUUUGGACAAUGGGCGCAAGCUUGAUCCAGCCAUGCCGCGUGCGGGAAGAAGGCCUCGGUUGUAACGCUUUGUCAGGGAAGAAACGACUCCGAGCCAAUACCUCGGAGUAA